AUGAACGCUGGCGGCGUGCCUAAUACAUGCAAGUCGAGCGAACGGACGAGAAGCUUGCUUCUCUGAUGUUAGCGGCGGACGGGCGAGUAACACGUGGAUAACCCACCUAUAAGACUGGGAUAACUUCGGGAAACCGGAGCUAAUACCGGAUAAUAUUUUGAACCGCAUGGUUCAAAAGUGAAAGACGGUCUUGCUGUCACUUAUAGAUGGAUCCGCGCUGCAUUAGCUAGUUGGUAAGGUAACGGCUUACCAAGGCAACGAUGCAUAGCCGACCUGAGAGGGUGAUCGGCCACACUGGAACUGAGACACGGUCCAGACUCCUACGGGAGGCAGCAGUAGGGAAUCUUCCGCAAUGGGCGAAAGCCUGACGGAGCAACGCCGCGUGAGUGAUGAAGGUCUUCGGAUCGUAAAACUCUGUUAUUAGGGAAGAACAUAUGUGUAAGUAACUGUGCACAUCUUGACGGUACCUAAUCAGAAAGCCACGGCUAACUACGUG
rnacentral:rRNA from 1 species